UCUUCUGGCCAGUCACGGCGAAGCGGCCGGAGGGGACUCCCGUGAGCCUUUGCGUCCCCGGCUGAGCCACCAAUCAAGACGCUCUUCCCCUUGGGACUAAAUUGGCUGCCAUGACUAAGAGCUCAUUGGCCCGCACUGGAGGAAGUGGUUCCAGGUCCUACUUCCGUCGGUCCUGGGAAAUACCCUUUCGUCGGCUUGUGUCCUCACUCCUGCGGGGUUUCUCUGCGUGUGACCCUCCUACAGCUGAGGGCUGUAAGAUCCUGUCUUGCCACAAAUAGCCAUGUCUUCACCUAAGCUCCUGCAAACAGCCACGCCUCUCUCCAAGUUCCUGUUCCGCCUGAAGUCCCGCCUCCAGAGACUGAAGACGAAGCUGCUGAUUGGGCCAUGUUGCUGACACACUGUGGGAGGGGUUUUGCUCUAUCUACCUGCUUGCAUGUAACAAGGAGAGUAUAAUAAUGAUGGCAGACUGAAAGCACA